rnacentral:rRNA from 1 species
AUUAGAUACCCGCGUAGUCCCAGCCGUAAACAAUGUGCGUUAGGUGUGUCGGUAACCACGCGUUACUGAUGCGCCGAAGAGAAAUCGUGAAACGCACCGCCUGGGAAGUACGGUCGCAAGGCUGAAACUUAAAGGAAUUGGCGGGGGAGCACCACAACAGGUGGAGCCUGCGGUUUAAUUGGAUUCAACGCCGGACAUCUCACCGGAUAAGACAGCUGUAUGAUUGUCAAUCUGAAGGUUUUACAUGACUAGCUGAGAGGAGGUGCAUGGC